ACGGGAGGCAGCAGUGAGGAAUAUUGGUCAAUGGUCGGAAGACUGAACCAGCCAUGCCGCGUGAAGGAAGAAUGCCCUAUGGGUUGUAAACUUCUUUUGCCACGGAGUAAUAAGGGUCCUGCGGGAUCCGAUGAGAGUACGUGGCGAAUAAGCAUCGGCUAACUCCGUGCCAGCAGCCGCGGUAAUACGGAGGAUGCGAGCGUUAUCCGGAUUUAUUGGGUUUAAAGGGUGCGUAGGCGGACUGUUAAGUCAGCGGUGAAAUACCACGGCUCAACCGUGGGGCUGCCGUUGAUACUGGCGGUCUGGAGUACGAUCGGCGCCGGCGGAAUGUGUCAUGUAGCGGUGAAAUGCAUAGAUAUGACACAGAACACCGAUCGCGAAGGCAGCUGGCGAGAACGAUACUGACGCUGAGGCACGAAGGUGCGGGGAUCAAACAGGAUUAGAUACCCUGGUA
rnacentral:rRNA from 1 species